AGAAUCAACGCUGGCGGCGUGCCUAACACAUGCAAGUCGAACGAGAAAGUGGAGCAAUCCAUGAGUAAAGUGGCGACCGGGUGAGUAACACGUGACUAACCUACCUUCGAGUGGGGGAUAACAUCGGGAAACCGAUGCUAAUACCGCAUAACAUCGCAAGAUCAAAGCAGCAAUGCGCUGGAAGAGGGGGUCGCGGCUGAUUAGCUAGUUGGCGGGGUAACGCCCACAAGGCGAAGAUCGGUA
rnacentral:rRNA from 1 species